UACAGAGGGUGCGAGCGUUAAUCGGAAUUACUGGGCGUAAAGCGUGCGCAGGCGGUGAUGUAAGACAGUUGUGAAAUCCCCGGGCUCAACCUGGGAACUGCAUCUGUGACUGCAUCGCUGGAGUGCGGCAGAGGGGGAUGGAAUUCCGCGUGUAGCAGUGAAAUGCGUAGAUAUGUGGAGGAACACCGAUGGCGAAGGCAGCCCCCUGGGCUAAGAUUGACGCUCAUGCACGAAAGCGUGGGGAGCAAACAGG
rnacentral:rRNA from 1 species